rnacentral:rRNA from 1 species
GUGAUGGCGAGUGGCGAACGGGUGAGUAACGCGUAGGAAUCUGCCCUAAAGCGGGGGAUAACCUAGGGAAACUUAGGCUAAUACCGCAUAAUCUCUACGGAGAAAAGCUGGGGACCUUCGGGCCUAGCACUUUAGGAUGAGCCUGCGUCAGAUUAGCUUGUUGGUAGGGUAAAAGCCUACCAAGGCAACGAUCUGUAGCUGGUCUGAGAGGACGAUCAGCCACACUGGGACUGAGAUACGGCCCAGACUCC